AGCUUGCUCUUAUGAAGUUAGCGGCGGACGGGUGAGUAACACGUGGGUAACCUGCCCAUAAGACUGGGAUAACUCCGGGAAACCGGGGCUAAUACCGGAUAACAUUUUGCACCGCAUGGUGCGAAAUUGAAAGGCGGCUUCGGCUGUCACUUAUGGAUGGACCCGCGUCGCAUUAGCUAGUUGGUGAGGUAACGGCUCACCAAGGCAACGAUGCGUAGCCGACCUGAGAGGGUGAUCGGCCACACUGGGACUGAGACACGGCCCAGACUCCUACGGGAGGCAGCAGUAGGGAAUCUUCCGCAAUGGACGAAAGUCUGACGGAGCAACGCCGCGUGAGUGAUGAAGGCUUUCGGGUCGUAAAACUCUGUUGUUAGGGAAGAACAAGUGCUAGUUGAAUAAGCUGGCACCUUGACGGUACCUAACCAGAAAGCCACGGCUAACUACGUGCCAGCAGCCGCGGUAAUACGUAGGUGGCAAGCGUUAUCCGGAAUUAUUGGGCGUAAAGCGCGCGCAGGUGGUUUCUUAAGUCUGAUGUGAAAGCCCACGGCUCAACCGUGGAGGGUCAUUGGAAACUGGGAGACUUGAGUGCAGAAGAGGAAAGUGGAAUUCCAUGUGUAGCGGUGAAAUGCGUAGAGAUAUGGAGGAACACCAGUGGCGAAGGCGACUUUCUGGUCUGUAACUGACACUG
rnacentral:rRNA from 1 species